rnacentral:rRNA from 1 species
AGGGUUUGAUCCUGGCUCAGAACGAACGUUGGCGGCGUGGUUGAGGCAUGCAAGUCGCACGAGAAAUCCGGCUUCGGCUGGAGAGUACAGUGGCGAAAGGGUGAGUAACACGAGGUCAAUCUGCCCUUGGGACGGGGGAUAACGGCUGGAAACGGCCGCUAAUACCCCGUACGACCGCGGGCCCGCAUGGGUCUGUGGUGAUAGGAGGGGAUCCUUCGGGACCUUUCGGCCAAGGAGGAGAUCGCGGCCCAUCAGCUAGUUGGCGGGGUGACGGCCCACCAAGGCAACGACGGGUAACCGGCCUGAGAGGGUAUACGGUCACAUGGGGACUGAGACACUGCCCUGACUCCUACGGGAGGCUGCAGUUCGGAAUAAUUGUCAAUGCGCGAAAGCGUGAACAUGCGACGCCGCGUGCGGGAUGAAGGCCCUAUGGGUCGUAAACCGCUGUCGGGAGUUAAAAAGUACGGGUGCGCUAACAUCGCAUCUGAUUGAUGAAGACUCCAAAGGAAGCACCGGCUAAUUCCGUGCCAGCAGCCGCGGUAAGACGGAGGGUGCAAACGUUGUUCGGUGUCACUGGGCUUAAAGGGUGUGUAGGCGGCUCGGUCAGUGUGAGGUGAAAUCCCUUGGCUUAACCAGGGAAUGGCUUUGCAUACAGCCGAGCUUGAGGACCACAGAGGAGAGCGGAACGUUGCAAGUAGGGGUGAAAUCCGUAGAUAUGCGACGGAAGACCGGUGGCGAAGGCGGCUCUCUGGGUGGUUUCUGACGCUGAGACACGAAAGCGUGGGGAGCGAACGGGAUUAGAUACCCCGGUAGUCCACGCCGUAAACGAUGAGCACUAAGUAGGGGGAAUUCCAACAUUCUCUCUGCCGAAGCAAAAGCACUAAGUGCUCCGCCUGGGGAGUAUGCUCGCAAGGGUAAAACUCAAAGGAAUUGACGGGGGCUCACACAAGCGGUGGAGCAUGUUGCUUAAUUCGACGCGAAGAACCUUACCCGGGUUUGACAUGCACGGAUUAGCGCCGUGAAAGCGGCGUGACGCCUUAACCGGUGGAACGUGUGCAGGUGUUGCAUGGCUGUCGUCAGCUCGUGUCGUGAGAUGUCGGGUUAAGUCCCUUAACGAGCGAAACCCCUGUUCUUAGUUGCUAGCGGUUUUUCCGCGCACUCUAGGGAGACUGCCCGUGUAAACGGGAGGAAGGUGGGGAUGACGUCAAGUCAUCAUGGCCCUUAUAUCCGGGGCUGCAAACGUGCUACAAUGGUCGAUACAAAGAGACGCAAGACCGCGAGGUGGAGCAAAUCUUAAAAAUCGGCCCCAGUUCGGAUUGGAGGCUGCAAUUCGCCUCCAUGAAGUCGGAAUCGCUAGUAAUCGCGUAUCAGCUACGACGCGGUGAAUACGUUCCUGAGCCUUGUACACACCGCCCGUCAAGCCACGAAAGUCGGAGGCACCUUAAGUCCGCCCAGUCAACCCCUCACGGGGAGACGGGCGCCCACGGUGAAGCCGAUGAUCGGGACUAAGUCGUAACAAGGUA